GAGCUGAAAAAUGAAGAAAACACAGAAGUCCCAAAAAUUGCAGUUCCUCGAAUAGCCACUUGAGGCUGGCUCCAAUAGUGAGUCAAUCCCCAUAGACCUCUAUGUUAAAAUGCGUUUAACUUUACAGCAGAAAUAAACAUGUUUACAGCCUGGUACAAAAAACGGUUUUGGUCUCUAUAGCCAAUUUCCCUAUUCAUGCCAACUGUACAGGGGGUGAUUUUUUAUAUAACUCGCCCAUUUAAAUUUUAUUAAAGCUUAAAGUUAUGCAUAAUUACAGGUGAGUGACAGGUGGGUGCCAUCACAGGCAAGUUGCUACCACGGCAACAACGUUUAUUAGGUAAUGUAACCAUGGCGUGACCCCGGAUUCACAGAUAUAGAUGUAGCCGUCGCUAUUUCAGUGUGUUUUCAGUUCAUGAAAGUUGAUUGUAACAUUUUGGAUGCCUAAAAAAGUCUUAUUCAGUGUUUCGUUGUACUUCGUGUAAGACACUCUACAGAGUUGGAUGUUCAGUUUUAUAUGGUAAGCACAUUUUUAUGGUUUUAAGGCUGUUUUUUGCAAGCGAAAAUUAGCAUUAGCAUUAUCACAGUUAACCAUAGACUGUAAAUGCACUAUGCUAACCAAGUUAGCAGCUAGCAGUAGGGUCAGCUCCACCCUCUCGUCCAAAUAUGGUGAGUUCUGGCUUGAAAAAUCCAAGAUGGCGAAGGUCAAAAUGCAAACUCAAGGCUUCAAAACAGGAGUCCACAAACCAAUUGGUAACUUCACGGUGGCUAUGUCCAUGAUUUUUUACAGUCUAUGGUUCUACCAUUGUCUCCACUGGUCCCAGAUCAUCCACUGGGAGAGGCACUCUCUUGGCUAUGCAAAUGUUGUGCAGCACUGUCUCCAAGUAUUAUGCCAGAAAGCCAGCCCUCCUCACACACUCUUGCCAGUGCGCUCUCCCUCAAGAUGUGUGCGUCAUGGUGAUGACCCCUGGUGUCAUCUCAUGUUUGCUAUGCGCUUCACCUGUCUGUCUGCUUUUACAAGUGAUCGUUGGAGCAACUGGGAAUACCUGAGGGUGUUCCCAGCUUACUUAAGCUUGGAUGCAGCAUAGCUCUCUCUCUCCUCUGCCACUCAGCUGUUGCUGCAUCUCUGCUCUCUUCAGGCACUCCUUGGUUUUGGUUAUGUUAUUUUACUUAUUUGUUUUGCUUUUAUACAUCUUACAACACUUACACGCACGCACACACUCCAUUUAUGCAUCACAUACACCACUGAUUUCCACAACCCAUACUUUAAACAUUUAGUUAACUCUUUAAUUUGGUUUAUUUUGGUUGAAUAAAAUAUCUUUUCUUAAACUCCCUUUUUCUGUGUCUCCCUUUUGUUGUGGCCACUUGAGCCAGGUCAUAACAAAUCAGGGAUUCCAUUAGGGUUAGUUUAGAAGUUUGUUUUGUGCCUCAGGUAGCAGUUGGGCGCAUGAUGUGAUUGCACAGCUGAUGAGGUGAUUUGGUCCAGUUGCGUGCUGGUUUUGUGUUGCGUGUUUGUCACCGGGACUGUUUUGGGUCUUUGGUUUUGUUCUGGUUUUUGGGAGAUACAUCGUGUUUUUUUGCAGGAAGCAUUGGUUUCUGACCUGGUGUCGGAUUGUUGUGUGCCACUCAGAGGAUCUUGAUGUUCCUGAUGAGAGUUUGGACGGUGAAGGGGAUGGUAAUGUUCCUGAUGUUCCUGUCACAAGCGGUAGGCUAAACAACUCUCAUUUAGCUCUACAGGGUGGGAUCUGACACCAGCUGCUGAAGCCUCAGGUCCUCCCGUUGCUGGCCAAACUCUUUGUUCCAGCUGGGGUUGGGUAGUCGGUCCCAGUGGACUGAGUGAGAGUUUGUUUUUUUGUAAAUUGUUUCUGUUUUGUUUUGUAAUUUGUUUGGGUUUUGAUAUAGUUUGCCAUUUUAUCCUGCUUUUUGCAUUGCUGUUGCCACAUCUGUUCUCUUAAUUUGCUCCUCAGGUACAAGGGUGAUGACCCCUGGUGUCAGGUACGAGGGUGAUGACCCCUGGUGUCAGGUACGAGGGUGAUGAUCCUUGGUGUCAGGUACGAGGGUGAUGACCCCUGGUGUCAGGUACGAGGGUGAUGAUCCCUGGUGUCAGGUACAAGGGUGAUGAUCCCUGGUGUCAGGUACGAGGGUGAUGACCCCUGGUGUCAUCGACGCCUGACGGUGUUCACAGCUUACUUAAGCUUGGAUGCAGCUGCAUCUCUCUUCUCUUCAGGCACCCCUUGGUUUUGGUUAUGUUAUUUUUAUUUAGUUAUUUAUUUUACUUUCAUGCAUCUUACAACACCUACACACACAAACUCUCCACUCAUGCAUCACAUACACCACUGAUAUUCCUGAUUUCCACACCCCAACAUUAAACAUUUAGUUAACUCCUUAAUUUGGUUUAUUUUGGCUUAAUAAAAUAUAUUUUGUUAAACUUUGA